rnacentral:rRNA from 1 species
CAGCAGCCGCGGUAAUACGUAGGGUGCAAGCGUUAAUCGGAAUUACUGGGCGUAAAGCGUGCGCAGGCGGUUAUAUAAGUCAGAUGUGAAAUCCCCGGGCUCAACCUGGGAACUGCAUUUGAGACUGUAUGGCUAGAGUGUGUCAGAGGGGGGUAGAAUUCCACGUGUAGCUGUGAAAUGCGUAGAUAUGUGGAGGAAUACCGAUGGCGAAGGCAGCCCCCUGGGAUAACACUGACGCUCAUGCACGAAAGCGUGGGGAGCAAACAGGAUUAGAUACCCGCGUAGUCCCUGUCUCUUAUAC